rnacentral:tRNA from 1 species
AUACAUUAGCUCAUUUGGUAGAGCAAAAGAUUUGUAAUCUUUGAGUAGCUGGUUCAAUUCCAGUAUGUGAAUA